CGCCCGGCCCCACCCGGCCGGUCCGACUCACCCGUGUAGUGCACCACGCAGGUCUGGCCGCGCUUUGGGAAGGUGCGCCCUGAGGAGAGACAAGACUGCACACUCAGAGAUGCUUUACUUGCGCACACCUAACUAAUUGCCCUGUAAGGACGAUAGCUGUGAGUAGGCCUUGUACCUGUGGAACCAAGGAAACGUCGGCUGAAUUCAGAAAUUCAGAAGCUGGAUCCUGCCCUCUGGCCCUCUGGGACUGAGGAAUUGUACCUUAGGGGUGCACACCUUGGAGAAAGCACACACCUCCAGUUUGUUGGACAGCAGGAUCAAAAACCAACCCACCAACACCUUAAAAACAUAUGUAUUUAUUUUAUGGAGGCAUCCUCUGAUAAAGAAUGCUAAGACCUUACCAAAGAUUUCACAGGGACACAGAAGACAAGCAGGGAAUGAAGAUCCAGCCUGCAACCAUCUUAGGCUUAAAAGCCAUCUUAUCAUAAAGACAAAGGAGGUCCAUUCCUAUUUAUGAUUAAACUUCUGUUUUU
rnacentral:lncRNA from 1 species